rnacentral:tRNA from 1 species
GAGGAUAUAGCUCAGUGGUAGAGUACAUGCCUAGCAUGCAUGAUGUCCAGGGUUCAAUCCCCAGUACCUCCA